rnacentral:rRNA from 1 species
UACAGAGGGGGCAAGCGUUGUUCGGAAUUACUGGGCGUAAAGGGCUCGUAGGCGGCCAACUAAGUCAGACGUGAAAUCCCCAGGCUUAACCUGGGAACUGCGUCUGAUACUGGAUGGCUUGAAUUCGGGAGAGGGAUGCAGAAUUCCAGGUGUAGCGGUGAAAUGCGUAGAUAUCUGGAGGAAUACCGGUGGCGAAGGCGGCAUCCUGGACCGAGAUUGACGCUGAUGAGCGAAAGCUAGGGGAGCAAACGGG